rnacentral:rRNA from 1 species
GACGAACGCUGGCGGCGUGCUUAACACAUGCAAGUCGAACGGAAAGGCCCUGCUUUUGUGGGGUGCUCGAUUGGCGAACGGGUGAGAAACACGUGUGUAUCCCGCCCUUGACUUUGGGAUAACUCCAGGAAACUGGGGCUAAUAUCGCAUAUGAGCUCCUGCUCCAUGGUGGGCGUUGGAAAGUUUCGGCCGUUGGGGCUGGACUCGCUGCUUAUCAGCUUGUUGGUGGAGUAGUUGCUUACCAAGGCUUUGACGGGUAGCCGGCCUGGGAGGGUGACCGGCGACAUUGGGACUGAGAUACGGCCCAGACUCCUACGGGAGGCAGCAGUGGAGAGUAUUGCACAAUGGGCGGAAGCGUGAUGCGGCGACGCCGCGUGCGGAAUGACCGCCUUCGGGUUAUAAACCGCUUUCGCCUGAGACGAAGCGUGAGUGACGGUACUGGGUAAAGAAGCACCGGCUAACUACGUG